AUUGAACGCUGGCGGCAGGCCUAACACAUGCAAGUCGAACGAGCGGCGGACGGGUGAGUAAUGUCUGGGAAACUGCCUGAUGGAGGGGGAUAACUACUGGAAACGGUAGCUAAUACCGCAUACCCUCAGAUGUGCCCAGAUGGGAUUAGCUUGUUGGUGGGGUAAUGGCUCACCAAGGCGACGAUCCCUAGCUGGUCUGAGAGGAUGACCAGCCACACUGGAACUGAGACACGGUCCAGACUCCUACGGGAGGCAGCAGUGGGGAAUAUUGCACAAGGGGCGCAAGCCUGAUGCAGCCAUGCCGCGUGUAUGAAGAAGGCCUUCGGGUUGUAAAGUACUUUCAGCGGGGAGGCGUUAACCGCAGAAGAAGCACCGGCUAACUCCGUGCCAGCAGCCGCGGUAAGAG
rnacentral:rRNA from 1 species